AUACGGAGAGUGCAAGCGUUGUUCGGAAUUACUGGGCUUAAAGAGCAUGUAGGCGGGGCGUCAGGUGCCGCGUGAAAUCCCCAGGCUCAACCUGGGAAUUGCACGGCAAACCGGCGCUCUUGAGGCAAGUAGAGGUGACUGGAACGACUGGUGGAGCGGUGAAAUGCGUAGAUAUCAGUUGGAACGCCGGAGGCGAAAGCGGGUCACUGGGCUUGUACUGACGCUGAGAUGCGAAAGCGUGGGUAGCGAACAGGAUUAGAAACCCCUGUAGUCC
rnacentral:rRNA from 1 species